rnacentral:rRNA from 1 species
AUGAACGCUGGCGGCGUGCCUAAUACAUGCAAGUCGAGCGAACGGACGAGAAGCUUGCUUUUCUGAUGUUAGCGGCGGACGGGUGAGUAACACGUGGAUAACCUACCUAUAAGACUGGGAUAACUUCGGGAAACCGGAGCUAAUACCGGAUAAUAUUUUGAACCGCAUGGUUCAAAAGUGAAAGACGGUCUUGCUGUCACUUAUAGAUGGAUCCGCGCUGCAUUAGCUAGUUGGUAAGGUAACGGCUUACCAAGGCAACGAUGCAUAGCCGACCUGAGAGGGUGAUCGGCCACACUGGAACUGAGACACGGUCCAGACUCCUACGGGAGGCAGCAGUAGGGAAUCUUCCGCAAUGGGCGAAAGCCUGACGGAGCAACGCCGCGUGAGUGAUGAAGGUCUUCGGAUCGUAAAACUCUGUUAUUAAGGAAGAACAUAUGUGUAAGUAACUGUGCACAUCUUGACGGUACCUAAUCAGAAAGCCACGGCUAACUACGUG